GACGAACGCUGGCGGCGCGCCUAACACAUGCAAGUCGAACGAGCGAGCGAGAGCUUGCUUUCUCGAGCGAGUGGCGAACGGGUGAGUAACGCGUGAGGAACCUGCCCCAAAGAGGGGGACAACAGUUGGAAACGACUGCUAAUACCGCAUAAGCCCACGACCCGGCAUCGGGUCGAGGGAAAAGGAGCAAUCCGCUUUGAGAUGGCCACGCGUCCGAUUAGCUAGUUGGUGUGGUAACGGCCCACCAAGGCGACGAUCGGUAGCCGGACCGAGAGGGUGAGCCGCCACAUUGGCGCUGGGACGCGGCCCAGACUCCUACGGGAUGCAGCAGUGGGGAAUAUUGCACAAUGGGGGGAACCCUGAUGCAGCGACGCCGCGUGGACGAAGAAGGUCUUCGGAUUGUAAACUCCUGUUGUUGAGGAAGAUAAUGACGGUACUCAACAAGAAAGUGACGGCUAACUACGUG
rnacentral:rRNA from 1 species